CCUGUCGCCAUCUGUCAUCGUGAAUGGGGCCGUGCCGACGCGUCAGACGGGACGAACGGGGGAAGUCGGCCCAGAGUCACUGCGCCGCGCGGUUGUGUGAGCAAGCCGUGGGCUAGGUACCGCUCCAGGUCAGACCAUGGUUGGCACUGAAGAGUGCGGCGACACUACAGAGCUGUGAACGAAGACGGUAACGGCGAGAUGUGGUGACCGCUUGACUGACCUGUGCCCAAAGUCGUGAUCUACCGCUGGGGUCAGUGCGUGAGAAGCUGGACUCGGCACCAACGGAGGACGCAGCUCGGCGAGGAAUAUAUGCUGUGUUGAGGGACGUCUGCCGGUUACGACCGGAAGGUUUCCGACGGGACUUGGCAGAACCCACAACAGCAGUAUGAACCCGGCGUGGAUGUAAUUGCUCGCAUGAGCAACCGAAGAGCGACUUCAAGGCGAAGCUGCCGCAGAAUUCCUGGAGAUGCGCUGGGACAUGGAUCAUAGCAAAGUGGCUCUCAGCGGCAGCUGACCGCUGAGAUGUGUCUGAAACAGCCAGAAGGAAGACUCGAGUUGUGGAUCCAGGGCACUACUGAACGGAAGGCCGGACCAGCUGUAGGGAGACUACAGAAAAGCCGUCGUUCUCAAUCUGCUGAAUAGACUCCUACUGCAGAGGAUCAGUUCGACGUGUUAGAACUGGGGUUAGACCGGUUGCCGGUUACCAGUGCUCGUGUUCGUCACCUGUUGUUUGUCACUGCUGCGCUGCUGCUGUAAUGUUUGCCACCUGCUAAGCGUUAACAAUGUAUUUUAAGUGAAUAGCUUUUCAGUUUUUUUUUAAGUGAUUGACAGGAAUAUAUUUAACAUGUAAGAUCCAUUACAAUAUUGCAUCGCAUAUUUUUUUAAUAUUUUAUUUUUCAGUGUUUGUCUUGAUUUGUAACGAGUAUAUCAAUUAUCAAGCAUGUUAACCUUUCAUCAAAUGGAGGGCUCCACAUAAAAAUAGUAUAGGCUGUGGUGGUACAGACACAUACCAUGCUUGGCCGACUGUUGUGUAUUGAUCUAGUCGUUGAAGCGUCCUGAAAGUCUGGAAAUAAACAGGC